rnacentral:rRNA from 1 species
GGGGAAUUUUCCGCAAUGGGCGCAAGCCUGACGGAGCAAUACCGCGUGGAGGACGACGGCCUGUGGGUCUUAAACUCCUUUUCUUAGAGAAGAAGUUCUGACGGCAUCUAAGGAAUAAGCAUCGGCUAACUCCGUGCCAGCAGCCGCGGUAAUACGGAGGAGGCAAGCGUUAUCCGGAAUUAUUGGGCGUAAAGAGUCCGUAGGUGGUCAGACAAGUCUGCUGUUAAAGACAGAAGCUCAACUUCUGGAGAGCAGUGGAAACUGUCCGACUAGAGAAUGGUAGGGGUAGAGGGAAUUCCCAGUGUAGCGGUGAAAUGCGUAGAGAUUGGGAAGAACAUCGGUGGCGAAAGCGCUCUACUGGGCCAUAACUGACACUGAGGGACGAAAGCUAGGG